rnacentral:rRNA from 1 species
UGGGGAAUAUUGGACAAUGGGCGCAAGCCUGAUCCAGCCAUGCCGCGUGAGUAAUGAAGGCCCUAGGGUUGUAAAGCUCUUUCACCGGUGAAGAUAAUGACGGUAACCGGAGAAGAAGCCCCGGCUAACUUCGUGCCAGCAGCCGCGGUAAUACGAAGGGGGCUAGCGUUGUUCGGAUUUACUGGGCGUAAAGCGCACGUAGGCGGACUUUUAAGUCAGGGGUGAAAUCCCGGGGCUCAACCCCGGAACUGCCUUUGAUACUGGAAGUCUUGAGUAUGGUAGAGGUGAGUGGAAUUCCGGGUGUAGAGGUGAAAUUCGUAGAUAUUCGGAGGAACACCAGUGGCGAAGGCGGCUCACUGGACCAUUACUGACGCUGAGGUGCGAAAGCGUGGGGAGCAAACAGG